CACCUACGGGGGGCAGCAGUGAGGAAUAUUGGUCAAUGGGCGGAAGCCUGAACCAGCCAAGUCGCGUGAGGGAAGAAGGCCCUGCGGGUCGCAGACCUCUUUUGUCAGGGAACAAAGGCGGGGACGUGUCCCCGGAUGAGUGUACCUGAAGAAAAAGCAUCGGCUAACUCCGUGCCAGCAGCCGCGGUAAUACGGAGGAUGCGAGCGUUAUCCGGAUUUAUUGGGUUUAAAGGGUGCGCAGGCGGUCUGUUAAGUCAGCGGUCAAAGCCCGGGGCUCAACCCCGGCCCGCCGUUGAAACUGGCAG
rnacentral:rRNA from 1 species